rnacentral:rRNA from 1 species
GUAGUCCGGAUUGGAGUCUGCAACUCGACUCCAUGAAGUCGGAAUCGCUAGUAAUCGUGGAUCAGAAUGCCACGGUGAAUACGUUCCCGGGCCUUGUACACACCGCCCGUCACACCAUGGGAGUGGGCUGCAAAAGAAGUAGGUAGUUUAACCUUCGGGGGGACGCUUACCACUUUGUGGUUCAUGACUGGGGUGAAGUCGUAACAAGGUAGCGCUAGGGGAACCUGGCGCUGGAUCACCUCCUUAUACGAUGAU